UGUCAGUGGUGAAAGCUUUGUCCCGUUCUGCUAUUGACGUUAAGUGAUGAUAAAGUUACGUCUAAGGAA
ensembl:snoRNA